GCGCCUGCGUACUUGGCGGACAUUCGCGGACGUCAGCAGAAUGUCCAGAUCUGACUACGGAUCAGAAGGUUGGGGGUUCGAUUCCCUCCGAGCGCA
rnacentral:tRNA from 1 species